UGUCAAGGGAUGGGAAUCGACCUUCCGCUUACCGGGCAGAUGCCAUGACCACUAGGCUACCCUGGAC